AUUGAACGCUGGCGGCAUGCCUUACACAUGCAAGUCGAACGGUAACAGGUCUUCGGAUGCUGACGAGUGGCGAACGGGUGAGUAAUACAUCGGAACGUGCCUAGUAGUGGGGGAUAACUACUCGAAAGAGUGGCUAAUACCGCAUGAGAUCUACGGAUGAAAGCAGGGGAUCGCAAGACCUUGUGCUACUAGAGCGGCCGAUGGCAGAUUAGGUAGUUGGUGGGAAAAAAGCUUACCAAGGCGACGAUCUGUAGCUGGUCUGAGAGGACGAUCAUCCACACUCGGACUGAGACACGUCCCAGCCUCCUACUGGAGGCAGCAUUGGUGUAUUUUGGACAAUGGGCGAACGCCUGAUCCAGCAAUUCCGCGUGCAGGAUGAAGGCCUUCGGGUUGUAAACUGCUUUUGUACGGAACGAAAAGCCCCGGGUUAAUACCCUGGGUCAUGACGGUACCGUAAGAAUAAGCACCGGCUAACUACGUGCCAGCCGCCGCGGUAA
rnacentral:rRNA from 1 species